UAGCGGCAGACGGGUGAGUAAUAUUUGGGCAAUCUGCCCUUGAGUGGGGGACAACCUGCCGAAAGGCGGGCUAAUACCCCAUAAGACCACAGGGAUGCAUAUCCAAGGGGUCAAAGCUCCGCAAGGGGCGCUUAAGGAGGAGCCCGAAUCCUAUCAUGGUAGUUGGCGGGGUAAUGGCCCACCAAGCCGUUGACGGGUAGCCGGCCUGAAAGGGCAACCGGCCACACUGGCACUGAGACACGGGCCAGACUCCUACGGGAGGCAGCAGUGGGGAAUUUUGGACAAUGGGGGCAACCCUGAUCCAGCGACGCCGCGUGAAGGAUGAAGGUCUUCGGAUUGUAAACUUCUUUUAGAGGGGAUGAAUGCCUUGGUGAAUAGCCAAGGGUGACAGUACUCUCUGAAUAAGCCACGGCUAACUACGUGCCAGCAGCCGCGGUAAUACGUAGGUGGCAAGCGUUACUCGGAAUCACUAGGCGUAAAGCGCAGGUAGGAGGUUUGGUAAGUCUGUUGUGAAAGCUCCCGGCUUAACUGGGAGAGGUCAACGGAAACUACUAGGCUAGAGUGCGGUAGAGGAAGGUGGAAUUCCCGGUGUAGCGGUGAAAUGCGUAGAUAUCGGGAGGAAUACCUAUGGCGAAAGCAGCCUUCUGGACCGUCAC
rnacentral:rRNA from 1 species